rnacentral:rRNA from 1 species
UAAGGAAUAUUGGACAAUGGAGGCAACUCUGAUCCAGCCAUGCCGCGUGAAGGAAUAAGGCCCUAUGGGUUGUAAACUUCUUUUAGACGGGACAAAACCCCUUUGCGUGUAAAGGGUUGAUGGUACUGUCAGAAUAAGCAUCGGCUAACUUCGUGCCAGCAGCCGCGGUAAUACGAAGGAUGCAAGCGUUAUCCGGAAUUAUUGGGUUUAAAGGGUGCGUAGGCGGACUAAUAAGUCAGUGGUGAAGGCCUGCAGCUUAACUGCAGAAUUGCCAUUGAUACUGUUAGUCUUGAGUACAGUUGAGGUAGGCGGAAUGUGUCAUGUAGCGGUGAAAUGCUUAGAUAUGACACAGAACACCGAUUGCGAAGGCAGCUUGCUAAGCUGUAACUGACGCUGAGGCACGAAAGCGUGGGGAGCAAACA